rnacentral:rRNA from 1 species
UGCCAGCAGCCGCGGUAAUACGGAGGAUGCAAGCGUUAUCCGGAUUUAUUGGGUUUAAAGGGUCCGUAGGCGGGAAGAUAAGUCAGUGGUGAAAGCCUGCAGCUCAACUGUAGAACUGCCAUUGAUACUGUCUUUCUUGAAUAUAUAUGAAGUGGGCGGAAUGGGUCAUGUAGCGGUGAAAUGCACAGAUAUGACCCAGAACACCGAUGGCGAAGGCAGCUCGCUAAUAUAUUAUUGACGCUGAGGGACGAAAGCGUGGGUAGCGAACAGGAUUAGAUA